GGCGACGCUAUGUCUAGAGGGUUCGUAUUUCACAUUCCACAUCCAGUUAAGGAACGAUCUUUGAAUGAUAAAACCUGCGAUUUUGAACUUUAUUGAUAAUUUAAAAAAAGUAUAUAAGUUACGUGAAAACUUGUGAAAAUUCAUUACAUUGUACUGGACAUCAAAACGUGAUCUACAACAUGUCGGAUUCAAAUGAUCCUUUUAACUUUCAACCCAAUACGACCCUUACUCAACGUGUUAGUAAUUAUUUUCAAAGGGAAAAUAAUGGGUUAGAUAUCCCUCCUACUUUAAAAAAGAAAAAAGCCAAUGUUGUGUAUUCAUACAUAAAAGUUCCUAAUAAUGGAGCCAAAGUUAUCAGAUUGGAAAUAUAUGACGCGGCAAAACUACGAAACACUAUGUUUUGUGAAUGUGAUGCAAAUGUCUGUGUUCAAUAUGUCGUCGAUAGCGAUAACUUACUUUUCGAUGAAAUCUAUAAUGGAGCUCACAGUUUAAUAACGAAAAUACAACGAAGUAUGUCCUGCAUUGAUGUUACUAGUGAUUAAAAAAUAAGAGUGAAAUGCGUUUUUGUGUAAAUAAUUAUUGUUUAUAACUAACGAUACAAAUUGUCUACUCAAUCAUUAUGUAAACUUAUUCGAAUGCAAAUAAAUAAACUUUAUUAUUGAACUUGAAUUUCAUUUUGAGGGAAAUAAAACUAAAGCCUUGUAGUGUUGGCUCGGUGUGUCUCCAACUGUAAGCUCGGUGUAACACCAGCUUGCCCUAAAACUGCUUAAGUUGCACAUUACAUUGUAUUAAUGCAUUGUCUUUUAUUACACGGCAUACGGUCAA